UCCCCUUCCCGCAUCCAGUCCCCACCUUUUCUUCCCUCAGCCGCCGCACUCACCAUCCCACCGUCGUCGAGCUACAAGCAGCACCGCCGCCUCCCAGUGCCGUCGCCUCGAAUCCCUCACCCACACGCCGCCGCCCAGUGCCGUCGCCCCAUCCUUUCAUCCACACCGCCCCGUCCAGCAUCGCCCCACAAAUCCCGUAAUCGCCCACGCCAUCGCCUCCGCAUCCCCACCCACGCCGUUGUCUUCGCAUCCCCCAUCCACGCCGCCGCUGGAGGUCAACGACGAGUUCGGAGGCGACCUCCGUGAACAGCAUAGCGAUCUCGCCUCCGUCCACAGCACACAGUCGACCUUGGCGUCAGCAGAUUCGUUCACCAUGGCGGCUGCGCUGGUGAGGUGAGCCUGACCUUCGGUGCCCUCUCCCCGCCGUUCAAAUCUCGUUCCUUAUGGUGUGCCCCCGCCAUCAUGAGCAAGCCUGCAGCGCUCCUAUCUUUGUAGGAAAAACCUUACUGGCUCCAAAGCUGUCCAGAUGCAUGUUGAAUGAUGGCUCAGAUAUGGUGCAAAACGGAAUGCAAAGAAAAUUCUUCUGCUUGCAGGGAGCGGAAGAGGAUGUGAUCGGGGGUCACCAUCAAGAGAGUGCUUCCUUGGCUCGCCACCAAAGUAAAAUGGUUUAGUGACUGGUCAGGUUAGGUUUUAUCGUCUUCUUUCCAGAUAUCUUCAGUUUCUAAUGCUUCUCAUAAUUCAUUUUUGUACAUUGAUGGAAUCGCACCAAUUGCUUUCUUCAGUUGAGUACACACCAAACACUUUCCUCUCAGAUCUAACUUUAAUUGAUAGUUCUCUGUAUUUCAUAAAGUUAAAUGCAGCAAAUCCUCAUGGUGUCCUCAAAACUAUGUUUUAUCAAUUUCAUAUAGUUUAGUACUCCCUCCGUCCCUACAUAUAAGACGUUUUUGCAGUUUGAUUUGAACUGAAAAAUGUCUUAUAUUUAGGGACAGAGGUAUUUUUUUCUAUGCCUCAUACAACUGCAGAGAAGAUAUUAAUUUUUCAGAAAUAGAAAGAUUUCAAUGCAGCCUACAUUCUUCAGGUUGUUUUUCAAGAUUAGUAUCUCUUGUCUAUAGGGUCGUACAAUGAUCCUUCAAAACUUCCAUUGAGCUGAUGCUUUUCUGGUCUUUGAAUUUUUGAAUAAGCUUCAAUGUGUCCUUCAAGUAUGACGGAUAACGCAUCCUAUCAUUUAUGAUUUUUCCCUAUAACUAUCUUCUACAUGUAUUUAAUUAUCUUCUUUGCUCAUCUAAAUUUUAUAUUUAGGUAUAGAGAUAUCUAAUCUUGGUUUAUUAUGGGCGACUUGAAACUGUAUUCUGUGCAUUCUCACUGCUCAGUGUCGUACACCCCAGGCCCCAGCCAUCCCUGAAUUCCGUGCAUCGUCCCUUGGGAGGUUCAGUCUGUAACAUUUUCAGAAUUAUGAGCAUUUUCCGAUGGGCUGAACUAUUUGGGUGUUGCCUCUAGAGAGCGUUUGUACAAGUAUAGCUUGUAAAUUCUGUUUACUGUACCGUCAUUUUUAUUAAAAAAUAUCAGUUCUAGCUUGCUGUACAUAAAUAUGCUUAAAUGCUCCAGCUCACGUUCAAUUGUUGUUGUACUAUUUGUCCAUACUAUAAUUAGAUAGAAGAAACGGCCUACCAUGCUUCCAUUUGAUUCUUGUGUGCAAGCCCAUAUUAUGAAAUGACAUAAGCAUGUUAGAUUCAAGGAAGUUGCUGGUACGUUAUACUAUUUGUCCUUCCCGAAGUACUAAAAAAUAGAAAAAUAACACAUUUUCCUCUAUUUCAUGAUUCUAUCUAACAAAUCAUUUUUAUUUUUAUUGUACUGUGAUUAUUUAUGAGGUUAUCAUAUAUUUCAUCGAAUGGCCACCGUGCUAGGCAUUUUGUAUCUUUGUUUAGUAUCGGACCAUCAUUGCUUGAUUAACUGGCAGACAAUCAUGAAAUUUACCUAUCAUUUUUGUAACCGCAGAUCACCUUACUUUGAUCCGGCAACAGAGGAAGGAAGUUGCAAAGAAGCAUGAAGAGAAUAAAGAUCUCUGCAUUUUUCCUGACUGAGGUAUGAAGGAAAUUUAUUUUUUGGUGGAAAAAGCUUUCUUUGAUAUCAGGUCACUAUAAAGGAUGAGUUGCUCCAAAGUGUCAUCAACGAGUACAACCACGCCGUGUUCACUAUGAUGAUGCGCAAUACAAGCUCUUGCCCUGUAAGUAUCCUGGAGAAAGAUCUGCAUCCAGUUCUCCUGUUCAACUUCAAGCUCUUGCCCUGCAAGUAUUUUGGAGAAGAUCUGCUACAGUUCUCCGAUCUGGUGCCACUCCGUUGUCAAUGGCGCUUCUCCAACAACACGUAGAUCAUCUACACCAACAACAAACCACCUGGGACGCGCAAAGGAAACUAGCUUUUGUCUUUUCCACUUCAUCACUAUGCAGAAAGCAAAUCUAUCUACUGGCCAGUGUACCUGUAGUACCUAUAGGUCUUAAGUUAUGUAAGACAAUCAUCCUAAAUAAAACAAUACUCCAUAGUUAGUAAGUCUCUCUUUCUCUUCCCUUAUGUGCUAUAAAAAAUUGAAAAGACAACGCACAAAUUUUUGCACAAAUUCUUGAAAGGCAACUCACCCGCUAGUGUAUACCUAUGUAUGUUGUGAUGCGGUACUGGACUUGUGAACCUAUAAAUGUAUACCUAUGUAUGUAUGAAGACAUGAUGUAUUGUUGAGAUAUAUAUUAUGCAACUUUAGCUCUA